rnacentral:lncRNA from 1 species
AUGGAACGGGGGGAGGGGAGGAGGGAAAGGAGGGGCCAGGGGGCGGGGCCUGAGUGGUCGGGAGGCGGGGCCUCGGGGUGGCGAGGGGGACCGGGCAGGGGGCGGGGCCUCGGGGUGGCGAGGGGGACCGGGCAGGGGGCGGGGCCUCGGGGUGGCGAGGGGGACCCGGGCAGGGGGCGGGGCCUCGGGGUGGCGAGGGGGUCCGGGACCGGGACCGGGGCCGGGGCCGGGACCGGGACCGGGGCCGGGAGGAGGGGCGGGCUGCGGCGGGAGGAGGACCGGGUCCUGGAAGCCGGAAGCCGCCAGCCGCCCCGCCUCGCGCCGGAAGUCCCGCUGGCGGCAAAGUUAACGGCAGUGGUUGGCGCGUCCGCGUCGGAGUCGCUGGUUCUCGAGGCUGCCGGCUGCGCGCCCCCUGCCCCCACCGAAGCUGACGUGCCCGAGCGGACCCGGGGAGCGUCCGCCGUCCCGGGGCGCUGUGGACGUGACUUCGGGGAGCUGGCUGUCCUGGUCCCAGCCUGCUCCGCCUCCCCGGUGACUGCGUCGGGGUGUGCAGAAUCAGCGGUGGGCCCGCUGGGAGAUGCGACGCCGGGAAGGAAGGCUCUGGGUGGCAGGCCAAACCCCGUGCCUCUGAAGUCGGAGUUUGCUUCCCAUCCAGUGGAAGGCGAGGGCCCUCCGGAUGAAGAAGUCUCAGUUUCAAAUUGUAAUCCUCUCCAGAAGGAAGUUUCACCAAAGCAGACAACUCUUUUUCUGAAAAUUCCACAUUUACAUUAUUCUUCUGAACAUUCUUGAUCAUAAGUGUAAUGAUUACUUGAGAUUCUGUUUGAUACCAGUCAUACUUGAUUUUUGACUGAUGAGUCCUUUAAGAAUCAGACACCUCAGGCUGUGAUCCAUUCUGAGCCUCUUGACACUUUUUGAUCCAGACAGUGAAAUCAGGAUCUGCACUAUGGAUUUCUAUGCCGUGAAGAUACACAGUGAAGCCAGGAAACAGCUCCUCGAAGUCUGAAUGAUUCGUACAAAAAUUUCCAAAGGCUCCAGCAACAAGCACUCCGUGGGGGUGAAACCCAAAUAUAUAGUUGUGACUUGGAUCCAAAUCCCAAGUUUUUGAUGACUAAUUGGAAAAUAGUCCUUAAAAUACCUCCAAACGGUCCAGCUUCUGACCCAGUUGGAUCUCCUGCCUCCCUGCUCUGGGUCCGCCAGUUCAGAAUCAAAAUGGUGAGUUAAACAUUGAAGACUACAAAAUAAUGCCAUCUUUGUGAAUAAAAAUAUGCAUAAAUUAUUUCUACUUAUUAUAGAUACACAUAUGUGAGAAAAUAUCACAAAUGAACAACUUAUGAUGAUUUAUACCAAUUCAUGACAAAAGGUUACUUUUGGGAAGGGAUGGUUAACUUUAUAAUAUUUUAUUUCUUGAAAUAAAAAGACUGGAAAUAAAUCAAAUGACGUGUAAAAUUUGUUGUAUUUGGGAGCUGUAUUUUAGUUAUUUUUUGUGCUUUUCUGUUUUUUAAAUUUUCUUAAAAUUAAAAAAUUGUCUUCUAGACCAUAAGAUCUUUAAGAGCAUACAAUGUUAUUACUAUAUUAUCGACUUUUCCCUAUGCUGUACUUUUUAUCUUUAUGUACCAUCUAUUGAUUUUUGACAAAGAUGACAAAAUAACGUAGAGAGGAAAAUUAAACCUUAAUAGUCAACAUAAUAAUAUUAUUGGCUCAAAGGAAUAUACUGACGUCAAGUCAAAAGGAAGACAGGAAAUGCUGACAUGCUGAGUCAAAGAUUAAGGUCAACAUUUCUGGAGAGCAUGACAGGAGCACAUUAGAAAGCACCAGUUAAGAUCUAGUCAAUCUUGCUUGUUAUUGUUGCCAUGUUUUAAGUGUGUGUUCCUGGUCUUGCUAGUGAGUACUUCUUGCAAAUAAAAUAAACAUUAAUAUGUUUAGAUACAUUAAAAAAAAAAGCCACCCUGCCCUCCAGCUCACCCUCUCCUCUCCUGGUGACCCCUAAGCUUCAAAGCCUCUUGCUCCAGCCCUGUGGCUUCCCUAGAAGCCAUGGCUUAGAGUGGAGAUGCUGCAGAACCCUGGCCCACCGGCAGCCUCCAGGCAAGUCAGCUAGACUCCAAGCACCUAGGUCCUGUGCAGAACCCAGGCCUUCAGGCUCUCUUUGGAUGGGAUCAAGAGGCCAGGCUGUGUCCUGGCCACCAGGUCCUGCCCAUUUCCAUGCAUCCCCACCAUGCUGUCUAAAGAAUGUAAUUUAUUUGGGCACCCCCAAGCUGCUUUCUCUCCUAACUCUCUGCCCUCCCUUAUCACACUCCCAGCUUCUCUUCUCUACAGAUACAUAUGUGUAUAUAAUUAUAUAUAUAUAUUUUUUGCCGGGGUCUGGCUUUUGUUCCUGCUCAGGCCCUGGUACCCCUUUCCACUGUGUGUGUGUGUGUGUGUGUGUGUGUGUGUGUGUGUGUGAGAUAAUGCUGUGGGAGGGGGACUCUGCUUGGAAUUAAAAGGUUGCAUUGGGGGAAAAAAAAAGAGUGCAUAGUAGGAGGACCCUAAACUUGCCUUAUCCCCCAAACACAGCUAGAUGAAUAUCAAAUUAUUCUGAACACCUGAGAAAUCAGUCUGAAGACUGAGAGAACAAAUUGUAUAACUCAGAGAAGAGAGGCCACAUUGUGAAAGGUAGGAGAUGCAAAUAUGUGGUUUUGGGGAGAAGAAAAUCACCAGUGCUAUGGAAAGGAGGGAGAGAGGAGAGAAAAGAGAGAGAGAGAGAGAGAGAAAAAAAAAAACAGUAUAGAAACAGUAUAAGAACAGUAUAAAAACAGUAUAAGAAAAAUACUUCCCCAAAACCAUUGAUGGGGAAAAUGAGACGGGCUAAUUAUUGCAGGUUUACAGGCACCAGAGUUCAAGGACUAAUGUUUUUGAAGUCUGCACUGUUGCUGGGUGGAGUCUGGCAGGUGUAGAUGUGCUCCUGUGGAGAAAGGGCAGAAGUAUGGGAGCAGACAGCUUGGUCCGAGGCUCCCUGGGUCACACUGGAAGAGACACUUCCCCUUUUGGGAGUGCAUUUAGGAGAGGUGGCACUGCCUUUCUGGGGUCAAAAGAGACAGCAGCUGCCAUUGAGCUGCCCCAUUCAUUAGCAUAUGAGUAGAGACACCUGCUGAAGGCAGCUAACUGGGAGCCAGCUUUUUGCUGUGCUUUAACAUAAAUUCCCAAGACCCUGCAUGUUUGUGUGACUGCCCUUCUGGAAGAAAACGGCACCAGCGUGGCAAGACCGUCGUCCAGAGGAUCAGCAUGGGUCUGUGCCAUGCCAGGUCACUAAAAUUUGGAGUUUUGAAACUGAGCCAUUGCACUUGAGAUACAGCGUAGUAGCACUGUACUGCCAGGUGGGCAGACAGCUGGGAUACAGACACGGUGAGGGCAGAGAUCUGAGGGAUACCUGGAACAAAUGAGGGGAGAUUAUUUGCUUUUCUGGGAGGGCUUCCCAAAUAGCAGCAGCACAGCAGUCUCUUCUCCAGGGACAAGAUAUCAAACUGACACCAUUUCCCAGCACCCCACCCCCCAAGCCCAUCAGCACAGAUAGACUUCAGUGAGCAGCACAGAGCCCACAGUGGAAGCUUGAGCAGUAUACACCAAUUCCCACCCUCUUGUGCCCUGCAGGUGCUUCUGAACUAGGGCAAGUGUGCCUGAGAGAGCAGCAGUGGGCCCCUCCCCUAGAAGACCAGCACAACCCCUUCACCCCACAUAUGCACCAAGUCUACUGACCAAAGAGUGCUACAAAGCUUAAGCUCUAC